GGGUGACUGCGUACCUUUUGUAUAAUGGGUCAGCGACUUAUAUUCUGUAGCAAGGUUAACCGAAUAGGGGAGCCGCAGGGAAACCGAGUCUUAACUGGGCGUUAAGUUGCAGGGUAUAGACCCGAAACCCGGUGAUCUAGCCAUGGGCAGGUUGAAGGUUGGGUAACACUAACUGGAGGACCGAACCGACUAAUGUUGAAAAAUUAGCGGAUGACUUGUGGCUGGGGGUGAAAGGCCAAUCAAACCGGGAGAUAGCUGGUUCUCCCCGAAAGCUAUUUAGGUAGCGCCUCGUGAACUCAUCUUCGGGGGUAGAGCACUGUUUCGGCUAGGGGGUCAUCCCGACUUACCAACCCGAUGCAAACUACGAAUACCGAAGAAUGUUAUCACGGGAGACACACGGCGGGUGCUAACGUCCGUCGUGAAGAGGGAAACAACCCAGACCGCCAGCUAAGGUCCCAAAGUCAUGGUUAAGUGGGAAACGAUGUGGGAAGGCCCAGACAGCCAGGAUGUUGGCUUAGAAGCAGCCAUCAUUUAAAGAAAGCGUAAUAGCUCACUGGUCGAGUCGGCCUGCGCGGAAGAUGUAACGGGGCUAAACCAUGCACCGAAGCUGCGGCAGCGACACUAUGUGUUGUUGGGUAGGGGAGCGUUCUGUAAGCCGUUGAAGGUGGCCUGUGAGGGUUGCUGGAGGUAUCAGAAGUGCGAAUGCUGACAUAAGUAACGAUAAUGCGGGUGAAAAACCCGCACGCCGGAAGACCAAGGGUUCCUGUCCAACGUUAAUCGGGGCAGGGUGAGUCGACCCCUAAGGCGAGGCCGAAAGGCGUAGUCGAUGGGAAACAGGUUAAUAUUCCUGUACUUGGUGUUACUGCGAAGGGGGGACGGAGAAGGCUAUGUUGGCCGGGCGACGGUUGUCCCGGUUUAAGCAUGUAGGCGGAUGUUCCAGGUAAAUCCGGAACGUUAUUAACGCUGAGGUGUGAUGACGAGGCACUACGGUGCUGAAGUGACAAAUGCCCUGCUUCCAGGAAAAGCCUCUAAGCAUCAGGUAACAUCAAAUCGUACCCCAAACCGACACAGGUGGUCAGGUAGAGAAUACCAAGGCGCUUGAGAGAACUCGGGUGAAGGAACUAGGCAAAAUGGUGCCGUAACUUCGGGAGAAGGCACGCUGAUGGUAAGUGAAGUGACUUGCUCAUGGAGCUGAAAUCAGUCGAAGAUACCAGCUGGCUGCAACUGUUUAUUAAAAACACAGCACUGUGCAAACACGAAAGUGGACGUAUACGGUGUGACGCCUGCCCGGUGCCGGAAGGUUAAUUGAUGGGGUUAUCCUCGCGGAGAAGCUCUUGAUCGAAGCCCCGGUAAACGGCGGCCGUAACUAUAACGGUCCUAAGGUAGCGAAAUUCCUUGUCGGGUAAGUUCCGACCUGCACGAAUGGCGUAAUGAUGGCCAGGCUGUCUCCACCCGAGACUCAGUGAAAUUGAACUCGCUGUGAAGAUGCAGUGUACCCGCGGCAAGACGGAAAGACCCCGUGAACCUUUACUAUAGCUUGACACUGAACACUGGUCCUUGAUGUGUAGGAUAGGUGGGAGGCUUUGAAGUGUGGACGCCAGUCUGCAUGGAGCCGUCCUUGAAAUACCACCCUUUAAUGGCUGGUGUUCUAACGUGGGCCCGUGAUCCGGGUUGCGGACAGUGUCUGGUGGGUAGUUUGACUGGGGCGGUCUCCUCCUAAAGAGUAACGGAGGAGCACGAAGGUCAGCUAAUCCUGGUCGGACAUCAGGAGGUUAGUGCAAUGGCAUAAGCUGGCUUGACUGCGAGCGUGACGGCGCGAGCAGGUGCGAAAGCAGGUCAUAGUGAUCCGGUGGUUCUGAAUGGAAGGGCCAUCGCUCAACGGAUAAAAGGUACUCCGGGGAUAACAGGCUGAUACCGCCCAAGAGUUCAUAUCGACGGCGGUGUUUGGCACCUCGAUGUCGGCUCAUCACAUCCUGGGGCUGAAGUAGGUCCCAAGGGUAUGGCUGUUCGCCAUUUAAAGUGGUACGCGAGCUGGGUUUAGAACGUCGUGAGACAGUUCGGUCCCUAUCUGCCGUGGGCGCUGGAGAAUUGAGGGGGGCUGCUCCUAGUACGAGAGGACCGGAGUGGACGCAUCACUGGUGUUCGGGUUGUCAUGCCAAUGGCAUUGCCCGGUAGCUAAAUGCGGAAGAGAUAAGUGCUGAAAGCAUCUAAGCACGAAACUUGCCCCGAGAUGAGUUCUCCCUGACUCCUUGAGAGUCCUGAAGGAACGUUGAAGACGACGACGUUGAUAGGCCGGGUGUGUAAGCGCAGCGAUGCGUUGAGCUAACCGGUACUAAUGAACCGUGAGGCUUAACCUU
rnacentral:rRNA from 1 species